rnacentral:rRNA from 1 species
UACAGAGGUCCCAAGCGUUGUUCGGAUUCACUGGGCGUAAAGGGUGCGUAGGUGGCAGGGUAAGUUUGAUGUGAAAUCUCCGAGCUUAACUCAGAAACUGCAUUGAAUACUAUCCUGCUCGAGGUUUGGAAGGGGGACUGGAAUUCUCGGUGUAGCAGUGAAAUGCGUAGAUAUCGAGAGGAACACCAGUGGCGAAGGCGAGUCCCUGGACAACACCUGACACUGAGGCACGAAAGCUAGGGGAGCAAACAGG